AACGAACGCUGGCGGCAUGCCUAACACAUGCAAGUCGAACGAGACCUUCGGGUCUAGUGGCGCACGGGUGCGUAACGCGUGGGAACCUGCCCUUAGGUUCGGAAUAACUCCCCGAAAGGGGUGCUAAUACCGGAUAAUGUCUUCGGACCAAAGAUUUAUCGCCUUUGGAUGGGCCCGUGUUGGAUUAGCUAGUUGGUAGGGUAAAAGCCUACCAAGGCGACGAUCCAUAGCUGGUCUGAGAGGAUGAUCAGCCACACUGGGACUGAGACACGGCCCAGACUCCUACGGGAGGCAGCAGUGGGGAAUAUUGGACAAUGGGCGAAAGCCUGAUCCAGCAAUGCCGCGUGAGUGAUGAAGGCCUUAGGGUUGUAAAGCUCUUUUACCCGGGAUGAUAAUGACGGUACCGGGAGAAUAAGCUCCGGCUAACUCCGUG
rnacentral:rRNA from 1 species